GGAGCUGCGAAUUCGGAGUCCCGGUUCCCUGUGCCACCUGGCGAGCUCAGCAAACUAAAAGUCUCUUUGUCUUCAUCGUUUCCGGCACUGAUGUGAGCACAUCAUAAGCACAAGACCUGGACACCUUUACAAUCAGAGGUAGCAUCUGUCUGGAACUGUAUCUUGACUCUCACUGGUGCUUUUCCUUUGGUUGAUGCAAAGCUUUUGAAUCCUUUAGGGAGAUGUCAUUGGCCUAGGACUGGAGCUCUGGAUCUGACCGGAGCAAAGAGGAAGCACGCAAAUCCGGACAUGACGACGAGGAGGCAGUAGAGACCCAUCCUCAACUGUGCCCUUGUUGAGCUGCUUGAGGCAGAAGGCACAGACGAAGUGCUCGGGGUGGAACUUCUUGGCCAUGGCGGUGAUGCAGCGGCCGGUGAUGGGCUUCUGGCAGCCAGAACACAGCGAGCCGCGCCGCUCGUGGUAGUGCACCUCACAGUAGGGCUGCCCGUCGUGCUCGAAGAAGCUGCCGUUCACGAAUGGCGUGAAGCAUUCCUGCCAGGCGGAGAGAGGGGCUCAGGGAGCUGCCCCUCGGGCUAGAGCUGCACCCUGUGUGAUGGGGCCGAGGUGGGCAUAGUCGGCACGCUCGGAGUGACUCCUACUUGCUAGGCGUUUCCCAUGUGCCGUGUUGUCCUAAACGCUCAUUUUUCAUUUUUAUUUUAUUAAAUAAAUUUUUUUUG
rnacentral:lncRNA from 1 species